rnacentral:rRNA from 1 species
UACGGGGGGGGCAAGCGUUGUUCGGAAUUACUGGGCGUAAAGGGCGCGUAGGCGGCCAGCACAAGUCAGUUGUGAAAUCUCCGAGCUUAACUCGGAAAGGUCAACUGAUACUGUGCGGCUAGAGUGCGGAAGGGGCAACUGGAAUUCUUGGUGUAGCGGUGAAAUGCGUAGAGAUCGGAAAGAACACCAACGGCGAAAGCACUCUGCUGGGCCGACACUGACACUGAGAGACGAAAGCUAGGGGAGCGAAUGGG